AUGUUCCCAUUCCUCGCCCGUCUCUCUUCCCCACUCCCGGCUCCGGGAUGUCCCUCGGGAGCAUGGCCCUGUCCUCCUCCUCCUCCUCUUCCCCGUGCUGUGGUGGCUCUUCCUGCUGGUGUUCCUGCUGAGGAAAUUCCCGUCGGGAUCCCGGGGAGUUGGGGAGUGAGACCUCGGAGAGGUCUGGGAAGGGUGGGAGAGACACCGGGAAGUGGGAGAGGAUCCCAGGAAAAGUGGGAAAGGGUCCCAGGAAAGAUCCCAGGAAGGGUGGGAGAGACACAAGGAAGUGGGAGAGGAUCCCAGGAAAAGUGGGAAAGGGUCCCAGGGAGUGGGAAAGGGUCUCAGGAAGUGGGAAAGGAUCCCAGGAAAGGUGGGAGACACCCAACGAAGAGUGGGAGAGACACCAGGAAGUGGGAAGGGAUCCCAGGAAAGGUGGGAAAGGAUCCCAGGAAAGGUGGGAAAGGAUCCCAGGGAGUGGGAGAAGAUCCCGGGAAAGGUUCGACAGGAUCCCAGGAAAGAUCCCAGGAAGGAUGGGAAGGACAUCAGGAAGUGGGAAGGGAUCCCAGGAAAAGUGGGAAAGGAUCCCAGGAAAGAUCCCAGGAAGGGUGGGAGAGACACAAGGAAGUGGAAAAGGAUCCCGGGAAGUGGAAAAGGAUCCCAGGAAAGGUGGGAAAGGAUCCCAGGGAGUGGGAGAAGAUCCCAGGAAAGAUCCCAGGAAGGGUGGGAGAAACACCGGGAAGUGGGAAAGGAUCCCAGGGAGUGGGAAAGGAUCCCAGGAAAGGUGGGAAAGAUUCCGAGGAAGGUGGAGAAGAUCCCAGGAAGGGUGGGAAAGACACAAGGAAGUGGGAAAGGAUCCCAGGAAAGGUGGGAAGGACCCCAGGAAUGGUGGAAGAGACUCCAGGAAAGGCAGAGGAGACCCUGGGAAGGACAUUGGGAAUGGGGGUGGAGCAUCCCCAUUCCCAUCCCUGUAAUCCACGGAUGCGGCCAUGGAUGCUCCAGGAUCCAUCCGUGACUCCCCAGGGUGGGGGAGGGGUCCCAGCUCCCCCUCCGGAGCAAAAAUUCCAUGAGCCAGAGGUGGGAGCUGCCGGGAUCCUGCUGCAUCCCAAUCCCCCAGGGAAAGGGACCCACAGCAGGAAAAUCGGGAUCCGGGAAUUCCCCCCCUCUUCUCCCAGCAGCGAUUCCGGGAUAUCCCAGCGGCUUCCAGAGCUUCUGGAAUCCCUUCCUGAGCCAGAAGGAUCCCUGGAAAAGCUGUUCCCGCUCAAGCUCCCUUGGAGCGGAAGGAGCAAUCCAUGGGAUUGGGUGGGGGAAUCCCUGGGAAUCCAUGGGAAUCCAUGGGAAUCCAUGGGAUUGGAUGGGUGGGGAGGGGAGGGAAAUCCAUGGGAUUGGGAGGGCCGGAGAAUUCCCCCUGGGAAUUUCCCAGCGUGCAUGGCCGGCUCUGUGCUCCUGGUUGUGCUUCCUCCGUGUUGUCCCCGUGUCCCGUCCUCGUGUCCCGUUGUUCCGUGUGCGGAGCUCCGGCUCCAUCCGUGUCCCAGCUCCCGGAGCCCUUCCCGGGGUGAUUUUUGUUUUUUUUCCUUGUCCUUUUCUGCCAAGUGCUGA
ensembl:lncRNA